GCUAGCAUGGCGUAGUGGUUUAGGUGUUGGACUACGACCCUGGAGACCAGGGUUCAAAUCCCUGUUCAGCC
rnacentral:tRNA from 1 species